UGUGCCGCUCCACCCCAACCCCGCCUUGGGAGGCGAUAAUGAUGCUGCCUCCCCUCAUUGCGGCUUCGAAUCCACUCGCGUCACCGUUGUUGUUCCUCCCGUGCAUCGUGUAAGAGCUUCUAAGCGCGGUAAAGCUCUGAAUCUGAUAAACAGUCGUUCUUCUACAUUCCUAUUCUGCUCGUGUCCUCACCUCGAAACCCCCAGAUCCCCUUUUCAAGCUAGCUCCAAGUUGACUGAACGUGGCUAGCAGGCGGAGCAGUAUGACUUCGCACAAUUCUAGAUCGAAGCAGAGAGUCCCUGCCUUCAAUCGCCAUCAGUAAAGGCCUAAGACUGUCUCCAAUGACCUCCCACUCCAACCAACUGCCUCGGCGCUGCGACGGCUCCGCGCGCGCGAAGGAGGCAUGGCCGUUGCCAUGGGCCCAUGCGCGCCGGUAGGGGGCGUCCGUACGCCCUCCACCUGUGGGGGACGCAGACCCCGACCUCCAAUUUGGAGUGCGCGGUGGGGGGCGCUGUUGGAGCGCGUAGCGAACGGAUUCGCCCCCUAUGUCAAGGUGGGGGGGGGGAUACCGUGCCCCGUUGGGGUCAGUCUAAAUCCCUCGUAGAUGCGACCAAGUUUCGGUGAGCUGCCGCACAUAGCUGCAUCCAGCCAUCAACUUUUGGCGUUCGUGAUUCCCUAUAGAUGCCAUGGAAAAACAAUUUCUUUAUUCAGAUCACUAGGCCUUCAGCGUUCUUUCACUCUUGCAAAUGCAUCAUCUAGUUUAAUACUAUGUUUUUUCCGGACUACAUGAAAAUCGAGGUUUUCCUAUGGUAAAUUUGUCCAUUAAAUCACUUAGGCUUUGUAGAUCCUUGAACUAAUCUGGUUCUUCAGAUGUAGAAUGAAGGAUUAAUGGAACAGAUAACCUUCAUGUACCAUGCUGCACAGAUUUUAGUUGCCAUCUUGCCAUCUGUGCGCCGUUCUGAAUGGGCAUUCCUAGACCAGCGGAGACAAAGAUUCUAAGUUUUCAGGUGAUGAGGCCUUUCUGUCGAGUUCUGUGCAAGAUGAGCUCACCUACGAGCAGCCAAUGGGGGAAUUGUGCAUUGAUCUGAGUUCAAAACCAGCUGCCACUGAAUGAGAGAAGCUCUAAAUGAUUAUCUCAAAUUCCGGAUGUAAAUGUAUAUUGUUAAUGUUUGUAUUCGGCUAGAAAAAGCUAAUGUCCAUUAGUAUGCGAUGUUUCAAAAUUAUUGUACAAUAUACUUGAACCUCGUUGUUCCUAUUUGUAUCUCGAAAAUUUUAAUGUAUUAUGGUAAUCCACCAUAUCUAUAUUGUAAACUCUGGAUUAGUGCGUCCAGUAGACAAAAACAAAGUUAUGACUUAUGUGGAUCACUAUGUUAUUGGCAAGCUAUAGCUCCCUUUCUUAUAGCCA